AAAAGAGCCCGUGUGUAUUCACGCAUUUAUACAUACGCAGAUACCCCCGGGUACCUGUAUAUAUCGAUCCAUGUAACACCAGCUUCCGACACGCAAACGCCGCCAUCUUCGCCGGAGAUAAAAAUAAUUGUUGGAACUCGAAAGGUCUGGUCCGUUAUUUUGCAUUAUGCAUACUUAUUCAGUCAUUCUGCUCUCAACAGACUCAAACCCCUCGGAUUCCCAAAAUGCUCACUAAUCAAAGAAAACUGUGAAGAUCGCUGUAAGUUUUCAUUCUUAUUGUUUUCCAUUUUAUUUCUCUAGGGUUUUAAGAUGUUGUAAUUUGACUAAUUUCAUCUGUAAAACUAAAACUAAUGUAUGGGUAUGAAAAAAAUCCAAUGUUAAAUAUUGUUUUCUUUUCUCUUUAUUCUCAACGGGAUCUCUCGUAUUUACCCUGUUUUCUUCUUCAACUAAUCAAUGACGGGUUUUUUAAUUAAAUCCUGCACAAGAUGUUUCUGUGGUUUUGAUGAUCUAUUUGUUGGGGCUCUUCACAUCUUCUUCUUCCUUGUUUGUUUUUUAAAGUUUAAUUUAGCAGGUAGGUUUUGGGCUUGUUUCAGGAUGUGUUUUUGUGUUAUCGUUACUCAUUUGAUAGUUCUGGUAUGUCUGUAUGGUUUGAGAAGGUCCUUAUUCAGAUUCUGUCAGUAUUCUUUUGAAAACCCAAUUUUUUCUGAUCAAGAUGUUUUAGUUGCAUCUUUUUUUGUGGCUUAUGUGAUUGUGGAGACUCCAUUAGUUAAUAUUUAAUGUAUUUCUUAUUUAUUCUUUUUUACCUGUAUCAAUCAUUAUUAUCUAACACAUACUAUUUUGUUGCUAUUUAAUAGGACAACUUGAGCAGCUUAAAGCCUUAAGCAAUCUGGAAAAAAGCCAAACAUCCAUAUACAAUACCAAAGUACACAAUUCCCUAACUUUACUUUACUGAUUACUUAAUAGUUAAUAUACUUGCAAAAGUGUGUAAUAAUAAAAAAAAAGCCUUGCUAUAUUGUCUUAUAAGUUGGUAUGUUGUCAUUGAAUGUUAUUUAGAAGCAACGGAUAAGAACUUAGUGUCCCAUGACAUGACUUAUUAGUGAGCUAUUGUAGUUUUAAACUUCUCCAUGUUAGGACAUUGUAGUUUUUAUAUUUUUUCCUAUUGCGCUUUAAAAAUCUAACCAAUUAUAGCAUUGUAUUCUUAAAACUUAUCCUAUAAUGACAAUGUACUUUUUGUUACAUGUUUAAGAUAUUGUACUUUGAAAAUCUUAACUUGUUUGAUUUUGGAUAAAAGUUAUAGCAUUAUAUUUUCAAAUUUUCUUCCUAUUAAGACAUUGGUUUCUAGAUGUUAACUUUCCCUAUUAAGACAUUGCACUUUGAUAAUUUAGCCAAUUAUUAUAUCGUACUCUUAAAACCUAACCUUUUUGUUUUUCCUAUUUAAGACAUUGUACUUGAAAAAUCUAAAUUUGUUUGAUUUGGUUACAAGUUAUAGCAUUAUAUUUUCAUUUAUGCUCCUAUUAAGACAUUGAACUUUUUACUUAUUUUCUAUUAAGACAUUGCCCAUCGAUAAUUUAACCAAUUAUAACAUCAUACUUUAAAAGUCUAAUCUGUUAAGAUGCACCCUCAAUUGUUUUUUCUAUUAAGAUAUUGUAUUUUGAUUAAGACAUUUACUACUCAUUUAAAAAAUCUAACCUAGUAAGUCAUUGUAUUUUGAAAAGCUAAACUUGUAUGAUUUGUUUUUACCAAUUAUAGCUAAACUUGUACCUUUUUCCUACUAAGAUGUACUUUAAUAUCUAACCAGUUAUAACAUUACCCUUUUAAAAUCUAUCAAGACAUUGCCCAUCAAUAAUUCGUCACUUUUUUCAGGUGAGAAUCUCUCAUGUUGAUGAACUUCUUAUAUGGUUCAGACUUCACAGCUUCUAAAAGGUCAAAAUAGUCAAUCUGGAAUUGUACUCAGUUACAAGCGUUGGUUUCUAGAGACUAGGCUAGUGUAUUGUUUGACAAAAGGGUCAGCUGUGCCUUUAAUGUCUGAAAUUGUCAAAGGGAGAUAUUCAAUCAGUUAAGAUGUUAACUUUCUCUCUCUUCAUAAAGUGUAGUCUGUUGCAAGAGUUUGUGAAUAAGAGAGAUUCUCACCCCUAGAAAGUGAUAAAUCAUUCAACAAGUUUUCUAAUAUAAGCUC
rnacentral:lncRNA from 1 species